rnacentral:rRNA from 1 species
GAUGAACGCUAGCUACAGGCUUAACACAUGCAAGUCGAGGGGAAACGACAUCGAAAGCUUGCUUUUGAUGGGCGUCGACCGGCGCACGGGUGAGUAACGCGUAUCCAACCUGCCCACCACUUGGGGAUAACCUUGCGAAAGUAAGACUAAUACCCAAUGAUAUCUCUAGAAGACAUCUGAAAGAGAUUAAAGAUUUAUCGGUGAUGGAUGGGGAUGCGUCUGAUUAGCUUGUUGGCGGGGUAAACGGCCCACCAAGGCAACGAUCAGUAGGGGUUCUGAGAGGAAGGUCCCCCACAUUGGAACUGAGACACGGUCCAAACUCCUACGGGGAGGCAGCAGUGAGGAAUAUUGGUC